UCCCUCUGCCUUGGUGUUCUAGCCAAAGCUUGCAGUGGUGUGAGGGAUUCAUGUGUAUUGCAAGACAGAGCUCCUCUCCCACUGCCACCAAGUUGGCACUGUCCAGAGCUGUGUGCGCUGUCUUCCUGUGUUUGUGAUGACCACAGCCACCAAGUUCACCACACCAUAGCCAGAACAUUCUAGGGAGUUGUUAGCCUGUAUGAAGCUUGUUCCGUAAUCAUCUCAGAAGUGAGGGGCAACGGAGACUGAAUAUUGGUUGUGGUGUCUGUUGGGGGGCUGCUUCGUCGCCGAAGGUCUUGAGAGAAGAAACACCUUCAGAAGGCCAUAACACAAUACCGAAGUUACCAGUUAGGGAGCUUCGUAGCGUAUCUCUCGAUGCACCGACUUAAAGAUGAAAUGACCAACUGGCCCAUGACAACCUGUGUUAUGAUUGUAACCAUUUGUAAAGGACAUGAAUGUAAUUUCUCACAGGCUGCGUCCUGUGCCUAUAAAUAGAUGAACAGUACUCCGUACUGUUCACACUUUUUCGCAUCUUACUCUUGCCUUGGUCUCCUGUUAAGCUCAAGGUACAAAUGUAAUUUGAUAUUGUUUUCAUGUAUUCAAGAUUAGUUCAAUAAUAAAUGUUUAUGCUAUUAUAUUAUUAUUUA